GACGAACGCUGGCGGCGUGCCUAAUACAUGCAAGUAGAACGCACAGUUUAUACCGUAGCUUGCUACACCAUAGACUGUGAGUUGCGAACGGGUGAGUAACGCGUAGGUAACCUGCCUGGUAGCGGGGGAUAACUAUUGGAAACGAUAGCUAAUACCGCAUAAUAUUGAUUAUUGCAUGAUAAUUAAUUGAAAGGUGCAAUUGCACCACUACCAGAUGGACCUGCGUUGUAUUAGCUAGUAGGUGAGGUAACGGCUCACCUAGGCGACGAUACAUAGCCGACCUGAGAGGGUGAUCGGCCACACUGGGACUGAGACACGGCCCAGACUCCUACGGGAGGCAGCAGUAGGGAAUCUUCGGCAAUGGACGAAAGUCUGACCGAGCAACGCCGCGUGAGUGAAGAAGGUUUUCGGAUCGUAAAGCUCUGUUGUAAGAGAAGAACGGGUGCGAGAGUGGAAAGUUCACACUGUGACGGUAGCUUACCAGAAAGGGACGGCUAACUACGUG
rnacentral:rRNA from 1 species